GCGCAUCUCGUGCAAUGCAUUGCACCGAGCGACAUACUUAUGGCCUGGACUCUGCAAGGGCACAAAGCUUUGGAGUACAUCAUAAUGAAGGCUUUAGCUCAGAACUGUGGGGCAGCGUAUGGAAAUGGCAACUGAAAAGCGGGGACGUUUGGGGAUCAUAUACUUUGCUGGCUGGCUUAUCAAGCAAGCGAACCAGCAUUGUUGACGAGGGUGAAUCAUAUUUCUGACGAUUGUGAAAAAGCUUUGCAUUCCUUGUGAAUUGAAUUGGGCAAUGUAGUCAUAAGCAACUUCGGCUUGUGCACUUCGAGUGUCGACAGUUGAAAAGCAAUCGUCAAACAGUGCAGAUGUGCGGAGGGGCAAUAAAUGCAGGAACUGAAGUCAAGAUAGAUUUGAAACAUUUAAAAUGCGCGCCACAGCAAGUGACGCUAAAACACAUACACGCACACAUAUACGCCAAUAGCAUCUUGGCCAAAAUGAAUGAAAGCGAGCGAAUAUUUGGGUCAGAUUUAGCAUUAGACGAACGACACAUGGGCGUUAUGAUGAUGAUGAUGUAAUGUCGUUAAUAUUCCAUUCGGAAUGUUCUGCUUGUUU